rnacentral:ncRNA from 1 species
UGAACAGGGGAGCUGGGUGUGCCCGGCUGAGACGAAGUUCUCCAACUUCGAGACCCGUGAACCUGAUCCGGAUAAUGCCGGCGUAGGAAACAG